GAUGGUGGAAGGUGAGGUUAUCUUAUGCUAGUAGAUUUCUCAUGAAACAGACAGACUGUGGACUUUUAUUACCAUAGCGUAACGUUCUUUAACCGUUUUCCCACAAUGGCGGCCCAAGUACGAAACGAGUGUGGAAGGAAAGUCACACAGAUUGUGCAUCUUGCUGAAGAGGUUGUCCACCUUCUUGAAGAUGGUUUGUUGUCAGAGGUUCAAUACGAACUCGCACUCCCUGGACAAGCGAAUGGAGAGGCCUUGGAAGAAAAAGGUUUAAGUUGGGAGCCCCGUUAGGCGCGCAUGUCUCAGAAGGCUGUCAACCGCUGGUUCCUGGCCGUGACUCUCCAACGCAACCCAUCUCUUGUCAAGUUCCGCCGCAUAUGCCGCCAUUUCACGGCGUCUGUUGUGACUCUUGGAAGCGUCAACUUUAAUUUGACAUUCCAAUGUAAAACUUUGAGACUAACUCAGCAGGAAGAAUACUGUUCGCUCUAUGUGGUUCUCUUUGUCGAACAUCUGCUAUAGUUUGGGAUAAAGAUCACAAAAUGUAGGGGGUUCCCUCUUUAGUUACUACAGUAUGAUACAGUCUGUAUCUGGGCAUUGUUGUUGUUGUUGCUUUUUUUGUUGUUUUUGUUGUUGUUUUUUCAGUUUUUGGGUUUUUUUUAUUCAAAAUGUUACUCCUCUAAUGGAAACUGCUCUAAAUUCUGGGCUAAGCUUUAUUAAACACGUAGAUUGUGGUAGAGGAGUGAGUAAGGAAGCACAUAAAGUACUUAUUGAAAAAACAAAAAAAAUUGUAGAUUUCUAUUGCUGGCUUCGGAAAUGGGAAUUAUGUUAUCUGGAAAGCAUGGAGAGGCAAAUGGUAGCAUUUGCAACCGAAGAUGAUUUUUUUGUAAAUCUAUUUCUCUGUCAAGCGGGCUUGCACGCUCUGAAGCGCUUUCAAGAAAAUAUCGACGGCAUUGUAAUUACUCCUGCAAAGUCUUGUUUGCUGAACUAUCUGCCAUUUUCGAAUCAAUCAAAGAAAACUGAGUGUGUUUCAAUUUUAGUCUCCCUUGUCUGACAGCUUGGUACAGUUAGCGAACUCCAACAUCGUGAAGAUGGACUAUCGAAUCACGACUUCGCCGCUCUCAAGUUAAUCUUUCGUAGUAUGAGAGCAGUUCAAAUCUUGCGCGCGCUACACAAGUCAGACAUAAUUAUUUUUGCGCGUAAUAAGUAAUGGUAAUAGGAUUGAGUAGAGUCCAGUUCGGUCUGUAAUUAUAGGAGUGAUAACAAAAUCGGACGACCGCGCAGCGGAAGUCCGAUUUGUUUAUCACGAGUAUGAUAACAGACUGUCCGAUAAAAGAAUUUGCAAUUUGGCAAAAAUAGUGCGCAGAGAGAGGUUAAAAAUAUAUCAACGACGUUAAAAGUAUGCGAAUU